GACGAACGCUGGCGGCGUGCUUAACACAUGCAAGUCGAACGGAAAGGCCCCGUUGGGGGUACUCGGGUGGUGAAGGGGUGAGUAACACGUUUGUAACCUGCCUUUUACUUCGGGACUGCUGCUGGUACCUGGGGCUAAUACCGGAGGGGAAUCCUUUCUGCAUGGGGGUGGUUGGAGAGCGUCGGGGGAUUUGGAUAGACUCUCGGCUUAUAAGCUUGUUGGCGGGGUAGUGGCUUACCAGGGCUUUGGCGGGUAGCCGGCCUGAGAGGGGGACCGGCCACAUUGGGACUGAGAUACGGCCCAGACUCCUACGGGAGGCAGCAGUGGGGAAUAUUGCACAAGGGGCGGAAGCCUGAUGCAGCAACGCCGCGUGCGGGAUGACGGCCUUCGGGUUGUAAACCGCUUUCAGCAGGGGCGAAGAGUUUGUGACGGUACCUGCAGAAGAAGCACCGGCUAACUACGUG
rnacentral:rRNA from 1 species